UACAGAGGUGGCAAGCGUUGUUCGGAAUUACUGGGCGUAAAGGGCUCGUAGGCGGCCAACUAAGUCCGACGUGAAAUCCCAAGGCUUAACCUUGGAACUGCGUCGGAUACUGGAUGGCUUGAAUUCGGGAGAGGGAUGCAGAGUUCCAGGUGUAGCGGUGAAAUGCGUAGAUAUCUGGAGGAAUACCGGUGGCGAAGGCGGCAUCCUGGACCGACAUUGACGCUGAGGAGCGAAAGCUAGGGGAGCAAACGGG
rnacentral:rRNA from 1 species